rnacentral:rRNA from 1 species
GCCCGAGGACCCUAAACUCUGUUUUUAGUGGAACUUCUGAGUAAAACAAACAAAUAAAUCAAAACUUUCAACAACGGAUCUCUUGGUUCUGGCAUCGAUGAAGAACGCAGCAAAAUGCGAUAAGUAAUGUGAAUUGCAGAAUUCAGUGAAUCAUCGAAUCUUUGAACGCACAUUGCGCCCGCCAGUAUUCUGGCGGGCAUGCCUGUUCGAGCGUCAUUUCAACCCUCAAGCUCAGCUUGGUGUUGGGACUCGCGGUAACCCGCGUUCCCCAAAUCGAUUGGCGGUCACGUCGAGCUUCCAUAGCGUAGUAAUCAUACACCUCGUUACUGGUAAUCGUCGCGGCCACGCCGUAAAACCCCAACUUCUGAAUGUUGACCUCGGAUCAGGUAGGAAUACCCGCUGAACUUAAGCAUAUCAAUAAGCGGAGGA